UACGAAGGGGGCUAGCGUUGCUCGGAAUCACUGGGCGUAAAGCGCACGUAGGCGGAUUGUUAAGUCAGGGGUGAAAUCCCGGAGCUCAACUCCGGAACUGCCUUUGAUACUGGCGAUCUUGAGUCCGGGAGAGGUGAGUGGAACUGCGAGUGUAGAGGUGAAAUUCGUAGAUAUUGGGAAGAACACCGGUGGCGAAGGCGGCUCACUGGCCCGUAACUGACGCUCAUGCACGACAGCGUGGGGAUCAAACAGG
rnacentral:rRNA from 1 species